rnacentral:rRNA from 1 species
AAUUUUGGAUAAUGGGGGAAACCCUGAUCCAGCCAUCCCGCGUGUAUGAUGAAGGCCUUCGGGUUGUACAGUACUUUUGGCAGAGAAGAAAAGUCUUCCCCUAAUACGGGAUGCUGCUGACGGCAUCCGCAGCACAAGCACCGGCUAACGACGUGCCAGCAGCCGCGGUAAUACGAAGGGUGCAAGCGUUAAUGUGAAUUACCUGUCGUAAAGUGUGUGUAGGCGGUUCGGAAAGAAAGAUAUGAAAUCCCAGGGCUCAACCUUGGAACUGCAUUUUUAACUGCAGAGCUAGAGUAUGUCAGAGGGGGGUAGAAUUCCACGUGUAGCAGUGAAAUGCGUAGAUAUGUGGAGGAAUACCGAUGGCGAAGGCAGCCCCCUGGGAUAAUACUGACGCUCAGACACGAAAGCGUGGGGAGCAAACAGG